AAGCAGUAACAGGACUCGAACCUGUGACGGCGGAAUCAAAAUCCGCAGUGUUGCCAACUACACCAUACUGCU
rnacentral:tRNA from 1 species